rnacentral:rRNA from 1 species
UACAGAGGUCUCAAGCGUUGUUCGGAUUCAUUGGGCGUAAAGGGUGCGUAGGCGGCGCGGUAAGUCGGGUGUGAAAUCUUGGAGCUUAACUCCGAAACUGCAUUCGAUACUGCCGUGCUUGAGGACUGGAGAGGAGACUGGAAUUUACGGUGUAGCGGUGAAAUGCGUAGGAUAUCGUAAGGAAGACCAGUGGCGAAAGGCGGGUCUCUGGACAGUUCCUGACGCUGAGGCACGAAGGUCAGGGGAGCAAACGGG